AGCCACAUCACGAUGAAACACCGGUUCUCGUACGUUCACCGAAGUUAAGCAACGUCGAGCCUGGUCAGUACCUAGAUGGGUGGCAGCUUGGGAAUACCAGACGCUGUAC